rnacentral:rRNA from 1 species
AUUGAACGCUGGCGGCAGGCUUAACACAUGCAAGUCGAGCGGGGGAAGGUAGCUUGCUACCGGACCUAGCGGCGGACGGGUGAGUAAUGCUUAGGGAUCUGCCUAUUAGUGGGGGACAACAUCUCGAAAGGGAUGCUAAUACCGCAUACGUCCUACGGGAGAAAGCAGGGGAUCUUCGGACCUUGCGCUAAUAGAUGAGCCUAAGUCGGAUUAGCUAGUUGGUGGGGUAAAGGCCUACCAAGGCGACGAUCUGUAGCGGGUCUGAGAGGAUGAUCCGCCACACUGGGACUGAGACAAGGCCCAGACUCCUACGGGAGGCAGCAGUGGGGAAUAUUGGACAAUGGGGGGAACCCUGAUCCAGCCAUGCCGCGUGUGUGAAGAAGGCCUUAUGGUUGUAAAGCACUUUAAGCGAGGAGGAGGCUACUUUAGUUAAUAACUUCACCGAUUGACGUUACCCGCAGAAGAAGCACCGGCUAACUCCGUGCCAGCCGCCGCCGUAA